rnacentral:rRNA from 1 species
GCAUGUGGUUUAAUUCGACGCAACGCGAAGAACCUUACCUGGCCUUGACAUGCAGAGAACUUUCCAGAGAUGGAUUGGUGCCUUCGGGAACUCUGACACAGGUGCUGCAUGGCCGUCGUCAGCUCGUGUCGUGAGAUGUUGGGUUAAGUCCCGUAACGAGCGCAACCCCUAUCCCUAGUUGCUAGCAGUUCGGCUGAGAACUCUAGGGAGACUGCCGGUGACAAACCGGAGGAAGGUGGGGAUGACGUCAGGUCAUCAUGGCCCUUACGGCCAGGGCUACACACGUGCUACAAUGGUGCGCACAGAGGGCUGCAAACCCGCGAGGGGGAGCCAAUCUCACAAAACGCAUCGUAGUCCGGAUCGCAGUCUGCAACUCGACUGCGUGAAGUCGGAAUCGCUAGUAAUCGUGAAUCAGAAUGUCACGGUGAAUACGUUCCCGGGCCUUGUACACACCGCCCGUCACACCAUGGGAGUGGAUUGCACCCGC